UACAGAGGUCCCCAAGCGUUGUUCGGAUUCAUUGGGCGUAAAGGGUGCGUAGGCGGCGCCGUAAGUCAGGUGUGAAAUCUCGGGGCUUAACUCCGAAACUGCAUUUGAUACUGCGGUGCUUGAGGACUGGAGAGGAGACUGGAAUUUACGGUGUAGCGGUGAAAUGCGUAGAUAUCGUAAGGAAGACCAGUGGCGAAGGCG
rnacentral:rRNA from 1 species